rnacentral:rRNA from 1 species
GGUAUGGGAUGAGCUUGCGUCCGAUUAGCUAGUUGGCGGGGCAACGGCCCACCAAGGCGACGAUCGGUAGCCGGCCUGAGAGGGUGAUCGGCCACAUUGGGACUGAGAUACGGCCCAGACUCCUACGGGAGGCAGCAGUAGGGAAUAUUGCACAAUGGGGGAAACCCUGAUGCAGCAACGCCACGUGUGGGAAGAAGCAUUUCGGUGUGUAAACCACUGUCGAUAGGGAAUAACGUCGGACUUCGGUCCGUUUGAAUGUACCAUUAGAGGAAGCACCGGCAAACUUCGUGCCAGCAGCCGCGGUAAUACGAGGGGUGCGAGCGUUGUUCGGAAUCACUGGGCGUAAAAGGAGCGUAGGCGGAAGCACAAGCAGUCUGUUCAAUCACGGGGCCCAACCCCGUACCAGCAGACUGGACUGCGUUUCUUGGAUAGUUCAGGGGCAGGC